UCUCCGUAGGUGAACCUGCGGAGGGAUCAUACAGAGUUCAUGCCCUACCGGGUAGAUCUCCCACCCUAUGUUAUUAUUACUUUGUUGCUUUGGCGGGCCGUUAGGCUCCGGCCCGACUACCGGCCCCGGCUGGUAAGCGCCCGCCAGAGGACCCAAAACCCUGAAUAUUAGUGUCGUCUGAGUACUAUAUAAUCGUUACAACUUUCAACAACGGAUCUCUUGGUUCUG
rnacentral:misc_RNA from 1 species